ACAUGCAGCUCUGUGAACUAGAGGUCGACCGAUUAAUCGUAAUGGCCGAUUAAUUAGGGACGAUUUCAAGAUUUUUUUACACCUUUAUUUAACUAGGCAAGUCAGUUAAGAACACAUACUUAUUUUCAAUGACCGCCUAGGAACGGUAGGUUAACUGCCUCGUUCAGGGGCAGAAAGACAGAUUUCACCUUAAUUAUAACUUGAAACAAACAAAAAGAAAACAACACUAGCAAGCUACAUACAGUAGCCAGCUUGUAGCUUACCUGGUGAAGCGAGAGCUGUGUUACCAAGAAAGCGGUUGAAGAAAGCAGCUUUUCGUGUUGUUAAAAACCAACGUGACAGAUUAGAUGCCAUUAUUCCCCAACAUAACUAAAUAUGUUGGCAAUAUGAUCUAAACGCAAAUGAAGUAGCUAGGUAAUUAGCUAGAUUACUUGUACGUGAUUUUACGGGUCGCAUUCGGUUAUGCAUUCUAUUCUGUGCAGGCAAAAGUAGCUGAUCCGAUUUUUUUUUUCAAAGAGACGCUCACAUCAAUUACCUCAGAUCCGAUUAUUUUUGUCUGGGAAACUACUUCAGGUUUGGGUUUUGUUGUCAUUAGCAAACAUGGCGGCGCCCAUCAACAGCUGAAGUUGGAGCACUCCAGGGGUUUAUAAACACCAUGAGCAACACAAUAUGUGCCCCUCGCGAACAAAUUAUAGAAAAUGAAGGAGACCUAAAGAAGUUAAGGUGUACACCAUCAACUUGGAGUGACCAUGUAACCUGAAUGUUGUGUUCAGUAACGUGGGAUUCUAGCUCAGGCAGCCAAAAGGCACAUUGGAUGAGAAGAGUUUCUUUGGAGGUUUACUACAUGUGUUAUGCCCCAGAGUAUGAGACAGUGGAGAACACCAGAUUAAAGACGGGAGAUAUGUGAAUAGGACGGCUCAAAAUAAAGAACAGGACCAGGGGGAUGAAGAGAAAAAGACCAUUUCUUCAGAUACAUUUGCUACCACAGCCAGGACUUCUUAAGGUGAUUAUCAGAGAUCCAGUGAUACCGGCAAUCAGGAAGAGACUUUGACCCUUGAGCCAAUUGUAAGCAAGGGAUGAUUAGGUGACCAUGGUUGUACAAGAGCCAGAUUGGGAAUUUAGCCAGGACACCGGGGUUAACACCCCUACUCUUAUGAUAAGUGCCAUGGGAUCUUUUUUUGGUGACCACAGAGAGUCAGGACACCCCUUCAACAUCCCCCUACACAGAGCAAUGUCCCCAAUCAUUGCCCUGGGGCAUUAGGAUAUUUUUUUAGACAAUCGGAAAAGGUGCCUCCUACUAGCCCUCCAACACCACUUCCAGCAGCGUCUGGUCACUAGGACCAACCCUGCUUAGCUUCAGAUGUGCCCCAUUUUAUGAUCGGUCUUAUAGUUAUCAGGCAAACCAAUGCAGGACUAUUCCAACAGAGAACAAAAUGGGGUCAUUGCAUAAUUUCAUAAUAAACUGCAGCAGGCACCCAAUAUAAGUGGCACUCCCUCCUCUUCUGGGGGAAACAGAGGGAUGGUGAAAAGACUGAGUAAGAAUCCUCCCCCUGCAUAACCCUCCAGAUUCAUACCAAGGACCACACAUUUGGAGAACAGAAAAUGGUAGAAAUGAUUAAAGACUUUUUGUCAUUGUGGACAAAAAUGAAACCCUCAUUGGACCAAACUACCAGAGUAGUCUAAGAUGGAUAUGGUGGAUGAGUCAUUGAACACAACAGCCAACCUGGUAUGAAAUACAUUGAAAAAGAUAUAUUUGUGGUCAUUUGCUUCCCAAAAUUGGUCACUCACAGUCACAACUUCAUACAGUAUUACAAUUCAAGUGUGAGUGAUAGUGCAGUAAAUUAAUUUCUUUCCUUGUUUUCAGGUAGCAUCAGUUUAUAGUAACUAACUAUUAUUACUAUCAGUUCAGGUAGCAUCAGUUCCUGAGAAGAAGACAAAGCCAGGAAAGCUUCAGAUGAUAAUCUAACAGGGAAAAGGAAAGGGGGAUACCUAGUGAAUGUGAACUGAAUGUAUUCAACUGAAAUGUGUCUUCCUCAUUUAACCCAACCCCUCUGAAUCAGAGAGGUGUGGAGGGCUGCCUUAAUCGACAUCCACAUCUUCGCCGCCUGGGGAACAAUGGGUUAACUGCCUUGCUCAGAGGCAGAACGACAGAACAGACUCCAUGUUCCGAAACGGACAGCAUCACACAGAAGAUAAUGCAUACAUUUGCAUACAAGUUCCUAGACUUUACACCAAUUAGACAGUACUUCAUCUUUUCUCAACAUGUUUUAUUUGUAUAUUUCCCAUCAGAGUAUAAGAAGUGUUUUUAUAUAUAUUUUUAUUUGUUUAUAUAUAUUUGCAGUUUCAUGAAAAUGAAUAAAGUAGUGUUGUCCUUAA